rnacentral:rRNA from 1 species
AUUGAACGCUGGCGGCAUGCCUUACACAUGCAAGUUGAACGGUAACGCGGGGCAACCUGGCGACGAGUGGCGAACGGGUGAGUAAUGCAUCGGAACGUGCCCAGAAGUGGGGGAUAGCCCGGCGAAAGCCGGAUUAAUACCGCAUGAGACCUGAGGGUGAAAGCGGGGGAUCGCAAGACCUCGCGCUUUUGGAGCGGCCGAUGUCAGAUUAGCUAGUUGGUGGGGUAAAGGCCUACCAAGGCGACGAUCUGUAGCUGGUCUGAGAGGACGACCAGCCAAAGUGGGCCGGAGACAAGGCCCAGACUCCUACGGGAGGCAGCAGUGGGGAAUUUUGGACAAUGGGCGCAAGCCUGAUCCAGCCAUGCCGCGCGCGGGAAGAAGGCCUUCGGGUUGUAAACCGCUUUUGUCAGGGAAGAAACGCUCUGGGCUAAUACCCUGGGGUAAUGACGGUACCUGAAGAAUAAGCACCGGCUAACUACGUGCCAGCCGCCGCCGUAA